rnacentral:rRNA from 1 species
GACGAACGCUGGCGGCGUGCCUAAUACAUGCAAGUUGAGCGCUGAAGGUUGGUACUUGUACCGACUGGAUGAGCAGCGAACGGGUGAGUAACGCGUGGGGAAUCUGCCUUUGAGCGGGGGACAACAUUUGGAAACGAAUGCUAAUACCGCAUAAAAACUUUAAACACAAGUUUUAAGUUUGAAAGAUGCAAUUGCAUCACUCAAAGAUGAUCCCGCGUUGUAUUAGCUAGUUGGUGAGGUAAAGGCUCACCAAGGCGAUGAUACGUAGCCGACCUGAGAGGGUGAUCGGCCACAUUGGGACUGAGACACGGCCCAAACUCCUACGGGAGGCAGCAGUAGGGAAUCUUCGGCAAUGGACGAAAGUCUGACCGAGCAACGCCGCGUGAGUGAAGAAGGUUUUCGGAUCGUAAAACUCUGUUGGUAGAGAAGAACGUUGGUGAGAGUGGAAAGCUCAUCAAGUGACGGUAACUACCCAGAAAGGGACGGCUAACUACGUG